GAUGAACGCUGGCGGCGUGCCUAAUACAUGCAAGUCGAGCGAAUGGAUUAAGAGCUUGCUCUUAUGAAGUUAGCGGCGGACGGGUGAGUAACACGUGGGUAACCUGCCCAUAAGACUGGGAUAACUCCGGGAAACCGGGGCUAAUACCGGAUAACAUUUUGAACCGCAUGGUUCGAAAUUGAAAGGCGGCUUCGGCUGUCACUUAUGGAUGGACCCGCGUCGCAUUAGCUAGUUGGUGAGGUAACGGCUCACCAAGGCAACGAUGCGUAGCCGAGCUGAGAGGGUGAUCGGCCACACUGGGACUGAGACACGGCCCAGACUCCUACGGGAGGCAGCAGUAGGGAAUCUUCCGCAAUGGACGAAAGUCUGACGGAGCAACGCCGCGUGAGUGAUGAAGGCUUUCGGGUCGUAAAACUCUGUUGUUAGGGAAGAACAAGUGCUAGUUGAAUAAGCUGGCACCUUGACGGACCUAACCAGAAAGCCACGGCUAACUACGUGCCAGCCGCCGAAGUAA
rnacentral:rRNA from 1 species